rnacentral:rRNA from 1 species
ACUAAGCGUACACGGUGGAUGCCCUGGCAGUCAGAGGCGAUGAAGGACGUGCUAAUCUGCGAUAAGCGUCGGUGAGGUGAUAUGAACCGUUAUAACCGGCGAUUUCCGAAUGGGGAAACCCAGUGUGUUUCGACACACUAUCAUUAACUGAAUCCAUAGGUUAAUGAGGCGAACCGGGGGAACUGAAACAUCUAAGUACCCCGAGGAAAAGAAAUCAACCGAGAUUCCCCCAGUAGCGGCGAGCGAACGGGGAGGAGCCCAGAGCCUGAAUCAGUGUGUGUGUUAGUGGAAGCGUCUGGAAAGGCGCGCGAUACAGGGUGACAGCCCCGUACACAAAAAUGCACAUAUUGUGAGCUCGAUGAGUAGGGCGGGACACGUGGUAUCCUGUCUGAAUAUGGGGGGACCAUCCUCCAAGGCUAAAUACUCCUGACUGACCGAUAGUGAACCAGUACCGUGAGGGAAAGGCGAAAAGAACCCCGGCGAGGGGAGUGAAAAAGAACCUGAAACCGUGUACGUACAAGCAGUGGGAGCCUCUUAAUGGGGUGACUGCGUACCUUUUGUAUAAUGGGUCAGCGACUUAUAUUCUGUAGCAAGGUUAACCGAAUAGGGGAGCCGAAGGGAAACCGAGUCUUAACUGGGCGUUAAGUUGCAGGGUAUAGACCCGAAACCCGGUGAUCUAGCCAUGGGCAGGUUGAAGGUUGGGUAACACUAACUGGAGGACCGAACCGACUAAUGUUGAAAAAUUAGCGGAUGACUUGUGGCUGGGGGUGAAAGGCCAAUCAAACCGGGAGAUAGCUGGUUCUCCCCGAAAGCUAUUUAGGUAGCGCCUCGUGAAUUCAUCUCCGGGGGUAGAGCACUGUUUCGGCAAGGGGGUCAUCCCGACUUACCAACCCGAUGCAAACUGCGAAUACCGGAGAAUGUUAUCACGGGAGACACACGGCGGGUGCUAACGUCCGUCGUGAAGAGGGAAACAACCCAGACCGCCAGCUAAGGUCCCAAAGUCAUGGUUAAGUGGGAAACGAUGUGGGAAGGCCCAGACAGCCAGGAUGUUGGCUUAGAAGCAGCCAUCAUUUAAAGAAAGCGUAAUAGCUCACUGGUCGAGUCGGCCUGCGCGGAAGAUGUAACGGGGCUAAACCAUGCACCGAAGCUGCGGCAGCGACGCUUAUGCGUUGUUGGGUAGGGGAGCGUUCUGUAAGCCUGUGAAGGUGGCCUGUGAGGGUUGCUGGAGGUAUCAGAAGUGCGAAUGCUGACAUAAGUAACGAUAAAGCGGGUGAAAAGCCCGCUCGCCGGAAGACCAAGGGUUCCUGUCCAACGUUAAUCGGGGCAGGGUGAGUCGACCCCUAAGGCGAGGCCGAAAGGCGUAGUCGAUGGGAAACAGGUUAAUAUUCCUGUACUUGGUGUUACUGCGAAGGGGGGACGGAGAAGGCUAUGUUGGCCGGGCGACGGUUGUCCCGGUUUAAGCGUGUAGGCUGGUUUUCCAGGCAAAUCCGGAAAACCAAGGCUGAGGCGUGAUGACGAGGCACUACGGUGCUGAAGUGACAAAUGCCCUGCUUCCAGGAAAAGCCUCUAAGCAUCAGGUAACAUCAAAUCGUACCCCAAACCGACACAGGUGGUCAGGUAGAGAAUACCAAGGCGCUUGAGAGAACUCGGGUGAAGGAACUAGGCAAAAUGGUGCCGUAACUUCGGGAGAAGGCACGCUGAUAUGUAGGUGAAGCGACUUGCUCGUGGAGCUGAAAUCAGUCGAAGAUACCAGCUGGCUGCAACUGUUUAUUAAAAACACAGCACUGUGCAAACACGAAAGUGGACGUAUACGGUGUGACGCCUGCCCGGUGCCGGAAGGUUAAUUGAUGGGGUUAGCGGUAACGCGAAGCUCUUGAUCGAAGCCCCGGUAAACGGCGGCCGUAACUAUAACGGUCCUAAGGUAGCGAAAUUCCUUGUCGGGUAAGUUCCGACCUGCACGAAUGGCGUAAUGAUGGCCAGGCUGUCUCCACCCGAGACUCAGUGAAAUUGAACUCGCUGUGAAGAUGCAGUGUACCCGCGGCAAGACGGAAAGACCCCGUGAACCUUUACUAUAGCUUGACACUGAACAUUGAGCCUUGAUGUGUAGGAUAGGUGGGAGGCUUUGAAGUGUGGACGCCAGUCUGCAUGGAGCCGACCUUGAAAUACCACCCUUUAAUGUUUGAUGUUCUAACGUUGGCCCGUAAUCCGGGUUGCGGACAGUGUCUGGUGGGUAGUUUGACUGGGGCGGUCUCCUCCUAAAGAGUAACGGAGGAGCACGAAGGUUGGCUAAUCCUGGUCGGACAUCAGGAGGUUAGUGCAAUGGCAUAAGCCAGCUUGACUGCGAGCGUGACGGCGCGAGCAGGUGCGAAAGCAGGUCAUAGUGAUCCGGUGGUUCUGAAUGGAAGGGCCAUCGCUCAACGGAUAAAAGGUACUCCGGGGAUAACAGGCUGAUACCGCCCAAGAGUUCAUAUCGACGGCGGUGUUUGGCACCUCGAUGUCGGCUCAUCACAUCCUGGGGCUGAAGUAGGUCCCAAGGGUAUGGCUGUUCGCCAUUUAAAGUGGUACGCGAGCUGGGUUUAGAACGUCGUGAGACAGUUCGGUCCCUAUCUGCCGUGGGCGCUGGAGAACUGAGGGGGGCUGCUCCUAGUACGAGAGGACCGGAGUGGACGCAUCACUGGUGUUCGGGUUGUCAUGCCAAUGGCACUGCCCGGUAGCUAAAUGCGGAAGAGAUAAGUGCUGAAAGCAUCUAAGCACGAAACUUGCCCCGAGAUGAGUUCUCCCUGAGACUUUAAGUCUCCUGAAGGAACGUUGAAGACGACGACGUUGAUAGGCCGGGUGUGUAAGCGCAGCGAUGCGUUGAGCUAACCGGUACUAAUGAACCGUGAGGCUUAACC